rnacentral:tRNA from 1 species
GAUUCUCUUAAUUAGAUUUUAAUAACAAAAUGUUUUGAAAACAUUUUUAAAGACUUAGUCUUUAAAGUCA